rnacentral:rRNA from 1 species
ACGCUCGACACCUACUGGAGGCAGCAGUGGGGAAUAUUGCACAAUGGGGGAAACCCUGAUGCAGCAACGCCGCGUGAAGGAAGACGGUUUUCGGAUUGUAAACUUCUGUUCUUAGUGAAGAUAGUGACGGUAGCUAAGGAGCAAGCCACGGCUAACUACGUGCCCGCAGCCGCGGUAAUCUGAGCGGGCUGGCAAGGC